UCCUCGGUAGCUCAACCGGCAGAGCAAGCGGCUGUUAACCGCAAGGUUGGAGGUUCGAGUCCUCCCCGAGGAGCCA
rnacentral:tRNA from 1 species